UCACAAUUGAUUCAAAAAUGGCACCGUUUUAUGCUCUGCCACUCACGUCCCUUGUCUUCUUUAACAUGCCAUAUUUAUGUCAGACGUCAUAUCCUUUCAUCUUUCCCAUUCCUCCAUCUACUCUCACGCUAUCACAAAAAAAAUGAGACGACGACACCGCCAUUUGCUUUCUCUGCAGCGCAAAGGAAACGACGCCGAGUAGAAUAUCUGCUUCUAGAAACCAUCCAGCCUCUUCCACUCUCAUUUGCUUCUUUGUUUGACUGGAACUUCGGCCCUCUCUUUAUCUUGUUUCACAGUAAGUUCUCGGCCUAUUUUUCGCUGAUUUGUUCUUCAUGUAGCUCAAUCUUGCCGAGAAACUUCAUUUCCUGCUAGAUUCUUGCUUCUUUAUGGAUUUGUUUGUUACUUUUUGCAGUUUUAUUUAAGAUUUUUUUCUUUUUCCCUGUCUGAGAUGUGAAAAUUUUGUUGGGUUACUCUACAUUUGCUUCGAUCUACUUCAAAAGCCAAAGAUCCUGCUCAAUUUUUUUACGAUUUUUGUUAUCAUUGACUAUAUUCCAAUUCUGGCUGUCGUUUUUACUGUAGUUCUAGCAUAUUUCCAAGAGACAUUGCUACUAUUUGUAGUUCUAGCAUAUUCUGUAGUUUAUCCGUGUUUUUUUUUUCGCACAGCCUUAUCUCUUUUUCUCCAACCAAUGUCUCACUCUUCGAACUAUCCUCUCACAAAGGGUGUGCCACGACCAAGCACAAAAUAGAAGUUGAGUUUUAAGAAAAGGGCAACAACCUUGAAAAUUAAACAGUCGAGAAAUAUGCGCAAACGUACCGGAUUAUAAUAAGGAUCCAUUGUUUCUCUAUGCAUUUUAAAUAAUCGAUUUUCAUUUUCAUUUUUUUGUUAAUUAAUUGUUGUUAACUCUUAUUUUUUUAUCGGUGUACUACGGAUGAAUGACUUUCUAUUUGACACAUAAAUUUGCUAUUUAUUUGGGGAGUUCUGAUUGGCAAACUCAUUUCUGGUCUCAUUUUUGUUCUCUUUCUUUGGGCAUUCUUUUUUUGAGAAUAAAUUGGAGAUUUCAAAGAGAGUAGGGAUUUUGAAAUGAAGACAUUUUAUGUUCACAACUUUUCAUUUGGGUGUUGUGUUUGGGGUCGUCAAAGCACCCUUCUUGUUAUUCUUUUUUAGAUUUUAAUCUAAUCCUUGCAAUAUUUUUGUGAUAUUAAAAAAUAUGAACAAGGAAUCGAAAGAAUUUUCUGGAGAAAAAUGUGACAUUUAUUUUUUGCUCUUGUGUGGGUUAUUGAAACAUUGCUUCUGUGACAAAUAUCACCUUUUCUACUUGGGACAAACCCUCUUCGGCUCUUCCAACUUCCAGACUUCAGCCGCAACGUUUGAGGACUGAGGUAAAUUAUUUAGUUUUUUGGUUUAAUUUCAAUAAGUAAUUACAAUGUGACUUUAGUCUUGUUUGGGUUGAUUCUGUUUUGUUGCAAUUAAUGUUCCUUUAAAAUUAACAAUGUGUAUUUUAUUCUUUAGAGCUUUGCUGAAAACCUGUGCCCAUUUACUAUUUCUUUAAUUUGUUUAGUCUUCUUAAGUUCAAACCUACUCUUAUAUAUAUUUUUAAUCAGACUUUCCACCAUUUCGUCUUUGUUUCUUAUAGUUCAUGAGAUUCUAUCUUCCAAUAUUCAUCGUGUUUGUAUCAAAGUAUUUGUUUUAUGAGAACUGCUUUGCAAUUUGCUCAAUUUUCGAACAGUAAGUUAUCUGAAGUGAUCAUACUUGAUCUUUUAAAUGCUUGACUUCUUGUGUUGUCCACUUGUAAAUGCUCGUCUCUGGUUGCUGCAGUGCUUCUGUGUUGUGCAUUUCUUUGCAACUUCUCUCGGCCUUUCCUAUCUCGUUUUAUAUUCCUUAACACUCGAAUCAACAUAAUAUGCGACUCUGUUUGUAGACUCACAUAAGCUUGUUGAUUAAGAAUGUCUAAAUGAUGUGAAUAAAAUUUGUUUUUUUGUGGGUUUUAACUUUAACAAAAGACAUUUACAUUCAUUGAUUGCAUCACUAACAAAACAAAAAGUAUGUGCUUGAUGUGAACCCAAAAGUAAGAAAAAUAAUAGAGUGUAACAAUCUGAUUAUACUUGGUGCAAGAUCAGAUUAAAGCAUAGUUCGAGGAGCUUAGGUCCAUGAGGAAUUUUUUUUUUUGUUCCAAGAUCUUUUUUGGCAUUUAGAUCUAUAUAUUUGUUGGCAUUUAUGGAUUUACAUAUAUUUUCUACAAGUAAUAUAUGACUAUGGAUUCUUGCACAUCUUAUUGUAUUCUACUGAAGUAUUAUGCAUGCUCUAAUUCUAAGUACAGCCUUGCAAUUUUUCUCAAAAUUAUGUUGCAUUUGUGCCAUUUUUUCAAUCGUAUAAUUUAUUUUAUGUUGUUCAUUUACUUUAAUUCAAAUGGGUUGCCAAUUCGCAGAAUAAUCUUCUAAAAAAUUUAAGUUAAAGGAGCAUUGGUUUUCAAUUUUAUGUUUUCACCAUUUGUCUAAAUUUGGGGUAGUAGGAGUAAUUGAUUAAAAAUUGAAAAUUUCAGCUUUGGAAAAGAACGAUUAGAGAUUUUGGACUAGAAUUUAUGUAUAGAUGGAUUAACUUUCUAUUGUACAUUUGUCUGACAACAAUUCUUUGACAUGUUUGGACAAUAAUUCUUGUAUAAUCUAUAUGUUGUCUCUGUAGUAUAGAUAUUAUGUCAAACAGAACUGAUCUACCACACCGUUUUGUUCAAGCUAUCAAACUUUCGUUGGACCAUAAUGUUCGCUUGGUAAGUCUUCAAAUGAUCUCUUUGUCACCAUUUACUGAUAAUUAAUGAAAUUAUAUACCAAGUAAACCAUAUUUUCAUGAGACUUAUAUCUUUUUCCUAUAGUUGCUUCCUAGAUCUUUUGUAGAAUGCUCAGGACGUGACCUUGGUGAUACAGUACGUUUAACUGGUUACGAUGGAAUUAUUUGUAACAUACAGUUGGAGAGAGCUGAUGAUAAUAUAUAUCUUGGUACCGGAUGGCCACAAUUCUUUGAUCACCAUAACUUAGAAGAUGGUUAUGUUCUUGUCUUUGAAUAUAACGGAAAUUCUACUUUCGAUGUUUCGAUAUUCGAAUGUUCAGGCGUGGAAGUAACGUAUGAGUCUGAUAGAGACUUCACGUACUGGUACUCCUAUCUUCCGAGUAACAUUAGAAGCUAAUCGCGAUGGUCAUUGAAAAAUUGUAUGCUCCUUUGUAACUUAAAUCUUUCCUGAACUACACAAAACAUUUCCAUACUUAUCAUUCUUGCUGAAUUCUGGAUUUAACUAUUUAUAGAUUUGUCAUUUUGCUUUGUAGUACGUACCUGGGACCUUCGCUCGAUUGUUCUUACCAGCGUCUGUCCAGAAUGUUCAAAUCCAUGAUUGUUCACAUUAUAAAUGUCCAUACGUACAAACUUAAGAACAAAUGGUUAUCUGCGAUCUUUUACCGUAGGUUGGGCAUAAUAUGUUAGAGAGAAGCAACUUCAAAUAGGUGACACAUGUGUCUUUGAACUUAUGAACGAUGAAAUCCCCAUGUUCAUGGUGUACAAAGUGUCCAGCAUUGAUGGAAGUUGGACUCUUACAUAAACUGUACAUUUCCAUUUGCGGCUUUCGUAUUUACUUAUUAUCGGAUAUUUAUCUGUUUUCUUCUGUACAAACACUCCAUGACUAAUCUAUUGGGUAUCGAAAUUGUAAUUUGCCUAUUCUUUUUUGGUUUCAAAUUGGCAUUGAAUUUGUACAUUUAAAUUUAUUCUUAUUAAAUUCGAUUGAAAACAAUCUAAACAAAAUACUAUGAGUCUAUAUGAAUAGUAUUUCCGCCUAACUCAAUUUUUAGGUAUUUCUUUCGGUGCGCCUACAUUUAGCUUUCAAGGGUAUACCUUCGUGCCACUAAAAAUGUUUAUUCUUACUUCAUGUAUGCUCUAAUAUAUAAUUGGUUUUUUUCCUGUAUCUCCACUUCAAAUGCGCUUUAAUUCUUACACUUCUACUUACUUCAUGAAGCUCCACAUUUUUCUACAGGUAUAUCUAAAGAGUCAAAUAUGAAUGAUAAUACUUGAGCUUCUUCCAAAGCAUUUAUCACUAAAUUUAGAAAGAACUCUCCUGAAAGAUUACCAUAAUUUGAAAGAACAAUUAAAUAUCUUCAUGGAAAACUUAUCUUUUGUUUAUAACUACAAAGUGAACAUUAUAGAACUCAAACAAGAGAUGACUUCUCUGUCAACAUAUUUGAUUGUUCUUUUAGAUUGUGUUAUUAUUUUAGGAGAGUUCUUUUUUAAGUUUGGUGAUAGUUACUUUGGAAGAAGCUCAAACUUUAGACUCCAGCAUAUUUCAUAUUAAGAGUUGAAAAUAUCUCUAUGCCUCAGAAGCCCAGGUCUAGAAAUAGGUGGUCAGCUGAACUUGGAAACAAGGAUUCGGUUAGCUGAACUUGGCAACAAGGAUCUAGGUGGCUCAUGCGGCUCUCGAGCAUCGCUUGAAGGUAACACAAUAAAAAAGGAUUAUUGCAUUCAGGCCCUCUGAAAUGUGACGAUGAGUUAGAGAUUAUUGGAAGGACAUUAAAAAGGAACAGUGUGUCUGUCACUGUAGUUAACUUUGAUGAGGAAGAUGAGGAAAUGCCCUUUUUGACAUGCUGACCCCAUGUUGCAAAGUACUGCUCUAUUUUACUUGAUGGCAGUAUUGUUGCAAAGAAAAGACGCAUUAGAAUGGGCUCAUACAGGAAAAGAUGCCGUCAAGUCAAUCUGGUUCUUGCCUGUUCUAAAAAAUAUUAUACUUUGUUUCUUCUUUUCUUAGGUUUGUACCCUUACUUAAUGCAAUCAUUUACCGUGGUGAUAGAGAGGUCACGGAAGAAAUUAAAAGCACAUGCCAGAAAUAAUAGAGCCCAGACACUAUUACUUUCUACUCAGUUCUGGAAACUGCACCUUUGUUGUGUCUUAUGUAUAGUUAUCUUUGAUCUCUGUGUACCUUUGAUUAUGUCAAUUUAUCUUCGAGAUAUCUGGUUAUCUUUAACGUUGAUGUUCCCAAUGAUUUUAAUUCUUUAUGCACUUUCACCAACAAAUGUACAAGAACUUUCAUACUUCUAACUUGUAACUUUGUUUUGUUUUGUAGCACUACUUUUGCACAAAACCUCUUCAAUGAAGUUUAAAUUUAGCAGGAGUG